rnacentral:lncRNA from 1 species
UGUUUGAUACAAGGGGGAAAAAAAAGCCCAACAGCCUGCAGAAAGAUCAAUGAGAACGAAAAAACGAAGGAAAUUUAAGAUUUCGUCUUAUCAACAUCUCUGAGAGCCAAUAAUUCCAAGGGGGAAACCAAAAUCUAAGUUGGAGACUAGAUAACCGAGAAGCAAAAGGUAUAGUCUUAUUGGAAAGAAAGAGAUAAUCGAACAAAGGACAUUGAACGUUAAGAAGAGGGAAGAAAUUUCCUUACCACCUUUAUUUCCUUCUGUAUCCGGAUCGUCGAGUCGAUUACUGGUCUCCUUCUCUACCGAGAUGGUGAGCUCCUCAAUCUUCUUGAGUUCAGCCGUCUCGGCCUCCACUCCACUGCUGCUGCUGCUGCUGGU